rnacentral:misc_RNA from 1 species
GAUGAAGAACGGAGCGAAAUGCGAUAAGUAAUGCGAAUUGCAGAAUUUCCGUGAAUCAUCGAAUCUUUGAACGCACAUUGCGCCCGCCAGUAUUCUGGCGGGCAUGCCUGUCCGAGCGUCAUUUCAACCAUCAAGCCCCGGGCUUGUGUUGGGGACCUGCGUCCGACGCAGGCCCUGAAAACCAGUGGCGGGCUCGCUGUCCACACCGAGCGUAGUAACUAACCUCGCUAUGGAGUGGCGCGGGCGCCUGCCGUAAAACCCCCAAUUUCACAAGGUUGACCUCGGAUCAGGUAGGAAUACCCGCUGAACUUAAGCAUAUCAAUAAGCGGAGGA